UCAGCGGAAAGUAGCUUGCUACUUUGCCGGCGAGCGGCGGACGGGUGAGUAAUGUCUGGGGAUCUGCCUGAUGGAGGGGGAUAACUACUGGAAACGGUAGCUAAUACCGCAUAACCUCGCAAGAGCAAAGUGGGGGACCUUCGGGCCUCACGCCAUCGGAUGAACCCAGAUGGGAUUAGCUAGUAGGUGGGGUAAUGGCUCACCUAGGCGACGAUCCCUAGCUGGUCUGAGAGGAUGACCAGCCACACUGGAACUGAGACACGGUCCAGACUCCUACGGGAGGCAGCAGUGGGGAAUAUUGCACAAUGGGCGCAAGCCUGAUGCAGCCAUGCCGCGUGUGUGAAGAAGGCCUUCGGGUGUAAAGCACCUCAUGCGAACCCCU
rnacentral:rRNA from 1 species